rnacentral:rRNA from 1 species
UGCGGGAAGAAGGCCUUCGGGUUGUAAACCGCUUUUGUCAGGGAAGAAACGCUCUGGGCUAAUACCCUGGGGUAAUGACGGUACCUGAAGAAUAAGCACCGGCUAACUACGUGCCAGCAGCCGCGGUAAUACGUAGGGUGCAAGCGUUAAUCGGAAUUACUGGGCGUAAAGCGUGCGCAGGCGGUUAUGCAAGACAGAUGUGAAAUCCCCGGGCUCAACCUGGGAACUGCAUUUGUGACUGCAUGGCUAGAGUGCGGCAGAGGGGGAUGGAAUUCCGCGUGUAGCAGUGAAAUGCGUAGAUAUGCGGAGGAACACCGAUGGCGAAGGCAAUCCCCUGGGCCUGCACUGACGCUCAUGCACGAAAGCGUGGGGAGCAAACAGGAUUAGAUACCCUGGUAGUCCACGCCCUAAACGA